rnacentral:lncRNA from 1 species
AGUAGGCCAAAUUUGCCCAGGCCCACUAGAAACCCAAAUAUAUAAUAAAUAAAUAAAUAAAUAAAUAUGUAUAUUAAAAACCCAACAAAUAUUAUAACAGUCCAUUAAUGUCCUAUCAAGCCCAAAGACCCAAAACAGUCCUUCUAGCCCAAAUCUAGUGGCCCAAUACUUAAAAUGAACCUAAGUGGCCCAAAAGACUUCACAACCCUAGGUCAUCCCUCCCUCAUUUGCGCCACAACCCUCUGCAGCCUCCAGGCGCCGUACAACGCCUCCAGCAACCACGCCAAUCCUCCGUACAUCAGCAUGGCUCCCGUACAUACACCAGCACGCACCCGUACCUGUAAGAAGACAAACAAACACAACAGCAAAUGAAAAUAAAAGAAAAUAUUGUAUUUUUUAUCGAUUUGAUUUUCCUUUUUUUUCUUCUUCGGCUAUAAAGCCGAAAGUUCCAUCCUUGUAAUCGUUUACACACGCAAAAAGGCAAUACAAGAAAAGAGAAGACCACCUAUAUUCGAAGGUGAUUUUUCGAUUUAUAUUUGCGGGCGUUCCUAUUUUUUUCUUUCGAUUGUUCUUUGUUUUGUGUUUUUUUCUCGAAAGUAAAUAAAGCGAAGAGGAGGGGACUUACCUUCGCGUAUGAGCCAUCGGAGACCACAUCUCCUUCGCUAAAAAUUGAAAUCGGAGAUGGGAUUUCAGGGGCCGAAAUCGAUAGCCUUUAGGCUAAUGUUCCAAGCGAGAGGCGCACAUGCGGUUCUCCCCUGUUCGCAGUAGUGGCGGUUGGACUGCACGGAUCCUUGGAUUCGGCCGAGUGGAGAAGGGGGCGUAUGGCUUCUUUUUGCUUUUGGUUCUAAAAGAACCAAGAAUCUUAGUCUUAGGGUUUUC